CAGGCCUAACACAUGCAAGUCGAGCGGUAGAGAGGUGCUUGCAUCUCUUGAGAGCGGCGGACGGGUGAGUAAUGCCUAGGAAUCUGCCUGGUGGUGGGGGAUAACGUUCGGAAACGGACGCUAAUACCGCAUACGUCCUACGGGAGAAAGCGGGGGAUCUUCGGACCUCGCGCCAUUAGAUGAGCCUAGGUCGGAUUAGCUAGUUGGUGAGGUAAUGGCUCACCAAGGCGACGAUCCGUAACUGGUCUGAGAGGAUGAUCAGUCACACUGGAACUGAGACACGGUCCAGACUCCUACGGGAGGCAGCAGUGGGGAAUAUUGGACAAUGGGCGAAAGCCUGAUCCAGCCAUGCCGCGUGUGUGAAGAAGGUCUUCGGAUUGUAAAGCACUUUAAGUUGGGAGGAAGGGUAGUAACCUAAUACGUUGCUACUUUGACGUUACCGACAGAAUAAGCACCGGCUAACUUCGUG
rnacentral:rRNA from 1 species